GAUGAACGCUGGCGGCGUGCCUAAUACAUGCAAGUAGAACGCUGAAGGAGGAGCUUGCUCUUCUGGAUGAGUUGCGAACGGGUGAGUAACGCGUAGGUAACCUGCCUGGUAGCGGGGGAUAACUAUUGGAAACGCUAGCUAAUACCGCAUGACAACAGUUAUUGCAUGAUAACUGUUUAAAAGGGGCAACUGCUCCACUACCAGAUGGACCUGCGUUGUAUUAGCUAGUUGGUGAGGUAACGGCUCACCAAGGCGACGAUACAUAGCCGACCUGCGAGGGGGAUCGGCCACACUGGGACUGGGACACGGCCCAGGCUCCUACGGGAGGCAGCAGGAGGGGAUCUUCAGCAAUGGACGGAAGUCUGACCGGACAACGCCGCGGGAGUGAAGAAGGGUUUCGGGUCGUAAAGCUCUGUUGUAAGAGAAGAACGAGUGUGAGAGUGGAAAGUUCACACUGUGACGGUAUCUUACCAGAAAGGCACGGCUAACUACGUG
rnacentral:rRNA from 1 species